rnacentral:rRNA from 1 species
UACGUAGGGUGCGAGCGUUAAUCGGAAUUACUGGGCGUAAAGCGUGCGCAGGCGGUGAGCUGUGUCCGAUGUGAAAGCCCCGGGCUUAACCUGGGAAUGGCAUUGGAAACUGGCUCGCUGGAGUGUGGCAGAGGGGGGUGGAAUUCCGGCGUGUAGCAGUGAAAUGCGUAGAGAUGUGGAGGAACACCGAUGGCGAAGGCAGCCCCCUGGGCUAACACUGACGCUCAUGCACGAAAGCGUGGGGAGCAAACAGG